rnacentral:lncRNA from 1 species
AUAGUAAAAGCAAAAUUUUUUGACACUGAAAAGCAGAUUACUAAAUUGAUGCUAGAACUUUAAGAUUAAGGGACUAUAUUAAUGCCCUGAAAGCUAAAUAAGUAGAUCGGUGAAUCCAAGAAUAUCAAAUAAAUUAAACUAAGAGACGGGCAAAUUGAAGCAGCUAAACUACAAUCAAAGCCCGCGAAAAAAGCGAUACUACCAAAGUUGAGGAGCCUUGAUACACACAGGAACAAUAAUCAGAACGACACGAAGAGAAACCUGAAAAGAAAUAGAUUAUUAUUAACAAUUUAGCUAACGUGUUAAGCAACCUAUCUUGUGCAUAACAUUUUACUGUUUUGUUGAUCAUGUUUUAGGCUUAUGUAGUUGAACAAUCAAAUUUUGCGAAAACAGAUUUAAGUAUUUUGUUUCUAAAGUUAAGGAAUGAUAUAAAAGGAAUAUCUUAUGUCCCAAUGGUUGAAGUUUCUAGUAGUUUUACAAUAAAAAUAUAUUAAAUUAAAGAUAUAUACUGAAAUUAUUGAAAAGACAACGCAAUUAUAUUUUUGCUUGGUAAAAGGUCAUAGUGUAUACGUAAGACAGAAUAUACAUCCUCAUCGAGGAGAAAAAUGGGGGGAAAGUAAAAUAACAAAGAAGACAAAUAAACAUGAAAGACUUUGUCGCGCACGUACAAUCCAUUAAUGUAUCAUGAGAGAGCAUACUUCAAAAUAUAGUGUGUUUCAAUACUUUUAUCCAUGCAUAUUUCCCUUAUGUUUGUUUCACCCAAUUCUUGAGUUACGAUUUUGUCUACCAAUUCAUUCUUUACGGAGAUCACAGACUUAUGCUGAACCCAAAGGCUGGUACUGUCACAAAUAUACCUGAUCAAGUAAAAUGUCAAGUAUUUUCUGCUUAUGAAUAAAAUUAAUCAGAAUACUGUUUCUCAUGUUCAACUUUCUCUAUGUAAUGGAAGAAUACGUGAAUCUUUAUAUGAAAUGAAAAAUUGGAAAAACACAUAUAUCCUAGAUUGAAGGCAUUCAGAGUUGAGAAAAUGUAACACAAAAUUAUUAUCAAGUAGGCAGUGAUGAUUCACCGGUAAAAUUGUUCCCAUGUGACCAGGAGGUCACAGGUUCAAGCCUUGGAAACAACCUCUGACAGAAAUGCAAGAUAAGAUUGUGUACAUUACAUCCUUGUGGUGGGGUCCUUUCCCGAACCUAUGCAUAGCGGGAGUUUUAAUGCAUCGGGCUACCUUUUUUUUUUAGGAAGUGAUGAUGCACUUAUUGGACCAUUUUUCUGCUCCAUGGAAGCAUUCAUAGGCAUAGUUGCUAAACAAAUAUUUUUGUUUGAUAAUAUCAAUUGCAUGUUUAAUUUAACUCUCAUUUGGUUCUAAUGUACAUGCUUUGAUUUGCAAAAGAAAAGCUAACUCAAAUUUCAGAACUUCUCUACACUGGAAGAUUCUCUAAUUUGUGUUCUCGUCUGAGAUUGUGCCAAGAACUGAUGGACCAUGCCCAGUAAAUUUGUGUUCAAGAUUCAUAAUCAGUGACGGAGUCAGGAUUUUCAUUGAGGGGAUUCUAUGUAAAAUUAAUAUAAAAAUAGUAUAAUUUUUCGUCAAAAAAGGUGACUCCACCACUGUUCAUAUAUACUAAAAGAACAUGAAUUAGCGAUGGAAAAAUUCUGUUAACGUACUAAACAACAAAAUCUGUUGCCGCGGAUAGGAACAAACUAUCAAAAUGUUAUGUUAGUUAAGAGCAAUUUAACAACAGACUAGCGGCAAACUUCGUAACUAAUUCCAGUUAUUUUUGUAGUGUAAUUAUAUAUCCAUAUCAUAAUUGUACUUCAUGAGGAAAUAGACAUAAUUGCGGACCUUCCAUAAUGGUUAACCCCAACAUAUAUAUUACACAAACUUAGUAAAAUUAAAAUUUAAAAACAAAAUAUAGAAAGAUUGAGCGCGCACUCAAUCUCCAGAAUUAGAUUGAAGGCAAUUGAAUUCCCUUGACAUAAAAUUCAUGAAUCCACCACUCGAAACAAGCAUAAGGAAAUGUUAGUCACUUUUUUCCUAGUAAAAACAAUUAGCCAGCCAUACUUAGAUACUUUUAAGAGUUAAUUUCUCAGACAAUCACUCAACUACUAGUUAUUAUUUCAAUAAAGUCAUUUCUUUAUUGAAGAAUAUUGGGAUCAAGAAAAAAACUACUUUCUGAGAUAAUAACUAUUAGUUGAGGGUCAUAUGAGAAACCAAUCCGAUACUUUAACCAAUACUUUCACUGUUCAUUCCUAAAUAUUUUAUCUAUC